rnacentral:rRNA from 1 species
UACUUGAUCCUUCGGGUGAAGGUGGCGGACGGGUGAGUAACGCGUAAAGAACUUGCCUUACAGACUGGGACAACAUUUGGAAACGAAUGCUAAUACCGGAUAUUAUGAUUGGGUCGCAUGAUCUGAUUAUGAAAGCUAUACGCGCUGUGAGAGAGCUUUGCGUCCCAUUAGUUAGUUGGUGAGGUAACGGCUCACCAAGACGAUGAUGGGUAGCCGGCCUGAGAGGGUGAACGGCCACAAGGGGACUGAGACACGGCCCUUACUCCUACGGGAGGCAGCAGUGGGGAAUAUUGGACAAUGGACCAAAAGUCUGAUCCAGCAAUUCUGUGUGCACGAAGAAGUUUUUCGGAAUGUAAAGUGCUUUCAGUUGGGAAGAAGUCAGUGACGGUACCAACAGAAGAAGCGACGGCUAAAUACGUGCCAGCAGCCGCGGUAAUACGUAUGUCGCAAGCGUUAUCCGGAUUUAUUGGGCGUAAAGCGCGUCUAGGCGGCUUAGUAAGUCUGAUGUGAAAAUGCGGGGCUCAACCCCGUAUUGCGUUGGAAACUGCUAAACUAGAGUACUGGAGAGGUAGGCGGAACUACAAGUGUAGAGGUGAAAUUCGUAGAUAUUUGUAGGAAUGCCGAUGGGGAAGCCAGCCUACUGGACAGAUACUGACGCUAAAGCGCGAAGCGUGGGUAGCAAACAGG